GUGUCAGCCGCCGCGGUAAUACGUAGGGAGCGAGCGUUGUCCGGAUUCAUUGGGCGUAAAGAGCUCGUAGGCGGCUUGGUAAGUCGGAUGUGAAACCUCCAGGCUCAACCUGGAGUCGCCAUCCGAUACUGCCAUGGCUAGAGUCCGGUAGGGGCCCACGGAAUUCCUGGUGUAGCGGUGAAAUGCGCAGAUAUCAGGAGGAACACCGGUGGCGAAGGCGGUGGGCUGGGCCGGCACUGACGCUGAGGAGCGAAAGCGUGGGGAGCGAACAGGAUUAGAAACCCGAGUAGUCC
rnacentral:rRNA from 1 species